GCAUAUGUGAUAUGAAAGAGCAUGUUUUAUUAUGAGCAUUGAUUUUAUGAACAUGUUUUAUGAAAAUAGCAUGAUUAUGAAGCAUGAAUUUCAUUGUUCUUCCAUCUAUGUAUAUGUAUGCUUUAAGAAAAAGAUAUAAAGAUUUCAAAGGCUCUCAGAUGGCUAUGAAUGAAUCCCUUCGGGAAGGUCGACAUCCGGAGCUAGCAUCCACACGAAAUAUGACCCUGCCAGCGGGUAUAAAGUUGGUACAUGAAUUAAGAACUCUGUCGAUUAAGAAAUAUGGCCCUGUCACGGAUAUAAUAGUGACCUUAGCACGAAUAUUUGUGAGCAAUGUUUUGAAACAUGACAUGAAUACAUGAUGAAAAUGAUUUACGAUUCAUGAUUGUGAAAUAUACAUGAUUUAUGCAUGCAUGAUGAGUUUAUAACUUGUUUUGUUAUAUGCUCUAUGAAAUACUUUAUUUUGUAUUAUCUGUUAUUUUCUAAAUAUUGUAUUAUCAUGAAAAAAAAUUUUAUGCUUGAUCCGAUAAGGAAGUGCAAGUUCUACUUACUGGGCUAGUGUAGCUCAUAUUCUUUUUGUUUUCUUUUUGUUUGAACAGAGAAAUAAGGUUAGGAUCGGCAAAAGGAAUCCAAGCUUGAAGAUCGGCAUAGCAAGCUGAAAAAUUUGACAACAGAAGUUUAAUUUAUUUUACAAUCAUGAAUU
rnacentral:lncRNA from 1 species